rnacentral:lncRNA from 1 species
GCCGGACCUCUCCUCGGCGCGUCCCAGCGACUUUUUUAGGCCUGUUUGUCGCCCAGCAGUACUCGAUUCUUCACUUUUGGAUUCCCUUGAAUCUCUAUGGUGUCCUUUGGAGCCUAGCUAAGUAAAAAAUUAGAGACCUGUGGGCCCCUUAUAUUGGAAUCGGAGCUUAAGAUGGGAAAGGUUUGCUUGAAAACGUUUCUGCGAGCGAUGGAGGCGCGUCCUGCGACGAGGCGGGAGGAGCGCUGGGACCUGGUGGAUGGGAGAGGGCGACGGUAUAAGGAAGCUCUUGGAUCCAGGAACUUCUGAAAUCCGGACGAUUAAAAUUUGUAUUUAAUUAAGCGAAAGCUGGAGUUGUCUGCGUAGGUGAUGGAAACUGGAAUGAGAUGCAUUUUUGUGCCUGUGCGGAGUGUACAAUUUUAUAUUGACUUUCACUGGAACGUAAUUUUUAUUUCCGCUCCCCAGUCACCCAGGAGGCAGAGAUGCACCAUGGGCUGAGUUCCAGAGAAUUUAUGGGGUCAGACCCUGGGCGGUGGGGGGUGGAAGGCUGAGGCUUGGCUUUAAAAGAACGCAAAGUUCUGCUUGUAUCGAUCUAAAUUUAUUUUCCUUUAUUAUCCUAAUGCACAUUUCUUGAGAUAAAUUACAAAUCCAAGUGCUGGAUUUAUUGGAGUUGGUAUGUUGUGUUUUGUCUAAGUUAUUAAUUACUAAUAUACUAUCGUUAUUAUUAUUUUUAUUAUUAUUUUGAGAUGGAGUCUCUGUUUCCCAGG